UUGAAGAGAGACUUGAAAACCACGAAAUUUAAAUGGGAAAAACUUGAAAACUUUAUGAAAUAUCAUGAACCAAUAAAGAGCAUAUGUCACUUAAUUUCAUUAGUAAAGCUAAAGUUAAAUCAUUUGCAAUUUAAUGCCUAGCUUAACCUAAGUUAAUUAACGAAAUGGACUUGACAAUGUAAUUAAGCUCUCAAACAUGAAAUUAAUCGAAACUUCAAUCUUUCUUUCCUUUAGACCAUCUAUGUUUCUUUUGAAUUUUAGUCAAUUUACAAAAGACCAAUCCAACACGUAGUUACUUCAUAACACAACUUCAAAAGUUUCUAUGAACUCUUUUUGGCUUAUUAUUUUGCAGGAAAUACAAGGAGACCGCAAUCCACAAUAUGUGGUUUGUGUAAGUUUGCUCAAAAGGUGUGGGAACAAUACUUUCCUUAACUUAUUUGGUUCACUUAUCUCUUGCAAAAAGAGGAUUGGUAGUCGAUGUCGAUGGACCUUUAGGCGAGGACCGUAGGCAAACUGAGAAAUGAGGUCCUUUCGAAGGUGAUUAUUGUUUUGUGGAGCUACAAAAAUUAACUUCAUUCCUUGGAUAGCGAUGAUGAGAAGUUCAAUCUUCAUUGCAUCUUCAAGAUGAAUGAUAAAUCUUCAGCUUUCUGGAAAUAAGGCAUUUUGACUACAAGUAGCCCAUCGAGGUAUUGGAAGGAGAGGUUAUAUUGUCAACAGCCAUCUUUUGUGAGUAUAAUCAAACUUGUUAUACAUCAUUCGUGCUCUCAACGAGCUGUCUACGAAUCUGAUGUAAACUAAGGAUGCUCCCUCUAUGGACUAAACUAAGGAUGCUCCCUCUGGAAUUUAUUGAAAAAGCUUGUUGAGUCUUUAAUUGUGUUAGUGGUGUGUUUUAUGCUCUAAUUACGAUAGUGGAGGAUUCUUUCUGCUUGAAAUAAGAACCUUAGUUGUUGAUAGUCUGUUGCACAACGAUGUUAUUUAAAAUUAGAGCAAUUAUCAAUUUGUAUCCCUAAAUUUUGGGGGUUUGAAAC